rnacentral:rRNA from 1 species
GCUCAGAUUGAACGCUAGCGGGAUGCCUUACACAUGCAAGUCGAACGGCAGCACGGACUUCGGUCUGGUGGCGAGUGGCGAACGGGUGAGUAAUGUAUCGGAACGUGCCUAGUAGCGGGGGAUAACUACGCGAAAGCGUAGCUAAUACCGCAUACGCCCUACGGGGGAAAGCAGGGGAUCGCAAGACCUUGCACUAUUAGAGCGGCCGAUAUCGGAUUAGCUAGUUGGUGGGGUAACGGCUCACCAAGGCGACGAUCCGUAGCUGGUUUGAGAGGACGACCAGCCACACUGGGACUGAGACACGGCCCAGACUCCUACGGGAGGCAGCAGUGGGGAAUUUUGGACAAUGGGGGAAACCCUGAUCCAGCCAUCCCGCGUGUGCGAUGAAGGCCUUCGGGUUGUAAAGCACUUUUGGCAGGAAAGAAACGUCAUGGGUUAAUACCCCGUGAAACUGACGGUACCUGCAGAAUAAGCACCGGCUAACUACGUGCCAGCAGCCGCGGUAAUACGUAGGGUGCAAGCGUUAAUCGGAAUUACUGGGCGUAAAGCGUGCGCAGGCGGUUCGGAAAGAAAGAUGUGAAAUCCCAGAGCUUAACUUUGGAACUGCAUUUUUAACUACCGAGCUAGAGUGUGUCAGAGGGAGGUGGAAAUUCCGCGUGUAGCAGUGAAAUGCGUAGAUAUGCGGAGGAACCACCGAUGGCGAAGGCAGCCUCCUGGGAUAAC